UGAUCCAGCCAUCCCGCGUGAAGGACGACGGCCCUAUGGGUUGUAAACUUCUUUUGUAUAGGGAUAAACCUUUCCACGUGUGGAAAGCUGAAGGUACUAUACGAAUAAGCACCGGCUAACUCCGUGCCAGCAGCCGCGGUAAUACGGAGGGUGCAAGCGUUAUCCGGAUUUAUUGGGUUUAAAGGGUCCGUAGGCGGACUCGUAAGUCAGUGGUGAAAUCUCAUAGCUUAACUAUGAAACUGCCAUUGAUACUGCGGGUCUUGAGUAAGGUAGAGGUAGCUGGAAUAAGUAGUGUAGCGGUGAAAUGCAUAGAUAUUACUUAGAACACCAAUUGCGAAGGCAGGUUACCAUGUCUUAACUGACGCUGAUGGACGAAAGCGUGGGGAGCGAACAGGAUUAGAUACCCUGGUAGUCCACGCCGUAAACGAUGCUAACUCGUUUUUGGGCUUUAGGGUUCAGAGACUAAGCGAAAGUGAUAAGUUAGCCACCUGGGGAGUACGAACGCAAGUUUGAAACUCAAAGGAAUUGACGGGGGCCCGCACAAGCGGUGGAUUAUGUGGUUUAAUUCGAUGAUACGCGAGGAACCUUACCAAGGCUUAAAUGGGAAUUGAUUGGUUUAGAAAUAGAUCGUCCUUCGGGCAAUUUUCAAGGUGCUGCAUGGUUGUCGUCAGCUCGUGCCGUGAGGUGUUAGGUUAAGUCCUGCAACGAGCGCAACCCCUGUCACUAGUUGCUAACAUUCAGUUGAGGACUCUAGUGAGACUGCCUACGCAAGUAGAGAGGAAGGUGGGGAUGACGUCAAAUCAUCACGGCCCUUACGCCUUGGGCCACACACGUAAUACAAUGGCCGGUACAGAGGGCAGCUACACAGCGAUGUGAUGCAAAUCUCGAAAGCCGGUCUCAGUUCGGAUUGGAGUCUGCAACUCGACUCUAUGAAGCUGGAAUCGCUAGUAAUCGCGCAUCAGCCAUGGCGCGGUGAAUACGUUCCCGGGCCUUGUACACACCGCCCGUCAAGCCAUGGAAGUCUGGGGUACCUGAAGUCGGUGACC
rnacentral:rRNA from 1 species